rnacentral:rRNA from 1 species
UAGGGAAUCUUCCGCAAUGGACGAAAGUCUGACGGAGCAACGCCGCGUGAGUGAAGAAGGAUUUCGGUUCGUAAAACUCUGUUGUUAGGGAAGAAAAAAUGUAUAGUAACUAUAUACAAAAGAGACGGUACCUAACCAGAAAGCCACGGCUAACUACGUGCCAGCAGCCGCGGUAAUACGUAGGUGGCAAGCGUUGUCCGGAAUUAUUGGGCGUAAAGCGCGCGCAGGUGGUUUAGAAAGUCUGAUGUGAAAGCCCACGGCUCAACCGGGGAGGGUCAUUUGAAACUAAUAAACUUGAGUGCAGGAGAGAAAAGUGGAAUUCCUAGUGUAGCGGUGAAAUGCGUAGAGAUUAGGAGGAACACCGGUGGCGAAAGCGGCUUUUUGGCCUGCAACUGACACUGAGGCGCGAAAGCGUGGGGAGCAAACAGG